rnacentral:rRNA from 1 species
GAUGAACGCUGGCGGCGUGCCUAAUACAUGCAAGUCGAGCGCAGCGGGGACGGGUGAGUAACACGUGGAUAACCUCCUAUAAGCAUGGGAUAACUUCGGGACACCGGAGCUAACCCCGAUACUUAUAGAUGGAUCCGCGCUGCAUUAUCUAGUUGGUAAGGUAACGGCUUACCAAGGCAACGAUGCAUAGCCGACCUGAGAGUGGGAUCGGCCACACUGGAACUGAGACACGGUCCAGACUCCUACGGGAGGCAGCAGUAGGGAAUCUGCCGCAAUGGGCGAAAGCCUGACGGAGCAACGCCGCGUGAGUGAUGAAGGUCUUCGGAUCGUAAAUCUCUGUUAUUAGGGAAGCGGUACCUAAUCAGAAAGCCACGGCUAACUACGUGCCAGCAGCCGCGGUAAUUC